rnacentral:misc_RNA from 1 species
AAGUCGUAACAAGGUUUCCGUAGGUGAACCUGCGGAAGGAUCAUUAACACGUGCUCCACGUUUAUCAAAACCAAUGAGAACCCGUUUUCCGCCGCCCUUCGUUAGAAUGAAUGGGAAUCAGUCCAGUGUAGUGAGUGGGACCGGUCUCGGUCAGCCUGGCUGUUACACACUGCCGAUCUUCGAAAGGAGUGAAGCGACCAUUGGAUCUAUUCUGAAGGCAAACCGUUUUAGUUUCCAAUCUCCACCCAUGAUUGAGUUGCUAGGGCACUAUUAACUAAUUUCACCCAAUUUUGCUAGUUG